rnacentral:rRNA from 1 species
UACGUGGGGUGCAAGCGUUGUCCGGAAUUAUUGGGCGUAAAGAGCUCGUAGGCGGCCUGUCGCGUCGGCUGUGAAAACCCGAGGCUCAACCUCGGGCCUGCAGUCGAUACGGGCAGGCUAGAGUUCGGUAGGGGAGACUGGAAUUCCUGGUGUAGCGGUGAAAUGCGCAGAUAUCAGGAGGAACACCGGUGGCGAAGGCGGGUCUCUGGGCCGAAACUGACGCUGAGGAGCGAAAGCGUGGGGAGCGAACAGG